rnacentral:rRNA from 1 species
AUUGAACGCUGGCGGCAGGCCUAACACAUGCAAGUCGAACGAGCGGCGGACGGGUGAGUAAUGUCUGGGAAACUGCCCGAUGGAGGGGGAUAACUACUGGAAACGGUGGCUAAUACCGCAUACUAUCAGAUGUGCCCAUAUGGGAUUAGCUAGUAGGUGGGGUAACGGCUCACCAAGGCGACGAUCCCUAGCUGGUCUGAGAGGAUGACCAGCCACACGGGAACUGAGACACGGCCCAGACUCCUACGGGAGGCAGCAGUGGGGAAUAUUGCACAAUGGGCGCAAGCCUGAUGCAGCCAUGCCGCGUGUAUGAAGAAGGCCUUCGGGUUGUAAAGUACUUUCAGCGGGGAGGCGUUACCCGCAGAAGAAGCACCGGCUAACUCCGUGCCAGCAGCCGCGGUAAUAC